rnacentral:rRNA from 1 species
AUUGAACGCUGGCGGCAGGCCUAACACAUGCAAGUCGAACGAGUGGCGGACGGGUGAGUAAUGUCUGGGAAACUGCCUGAUGGAGGGGGAUAACUACUGGAAACGGUAGCUAAUACCGCAUACCAUCAGAUGUGCCCAGAUGGUAUUAGCUUGUUGGUGGGGUAACGGUUCACCAAGGCGACGAUCCCUAGCUGGUCUGCGGGGAUGACGAGCCAAACGGGAACUGAGACAGGGUCCAGACCCUUACGGGAGGCAGCAGUGGGAAUAUUGCACAAUGGGCGCAAGCCUGAGGCAGCCAGGCCGCGUGUAUGAAGAAGGCCUUCGGGUUGUAAAGUACUGUCAGAGGGGAGGCGUUACCCGAAGAAGAAGCACCGGCUAACUCCGUGCCAGCAGCCGCGGUAAUAC